rnacentral:rRNA from 1 species
ACGAACGCUGGCGGCGCGCCUAACACAUGCAAGUCGAACGGAGUUGUGUUGAAAGCUUGCUGGAUAUACAACUUAGUGGCGGACGGGUGAGUAACACGUGAGUAACCUGCCUUUCAGAGCGGAAUAACGUUUGGAAACGAACGCUAAUACCGCAUAACAUGAAAGAACGGCAUCGUUCUUUCAUCAAAGAUUUUAUCGCUGAGAGAUGGGCUCGCGGCCGAUUAGGUAGUUGGUGAGAUAACAGCCCACCAAGCCGACGAUCGGUAGCCGGACUGAGAGGUUGAACGGCCACAUUGGGACUGAGACACGGCCCAGACUCCUACGGGAGGCAGCAGUGGGGGAUAUUGCACAAUGGAGGAAACUCUGAUGCAGCGACGCCGCGUGAGGGAAGACGGUCUUCGGAUUGUAAACCUCUGUCUUUAGGGACGAAAAAAUGACGGUACCUAAGGGGGAAGCCACGGCUAACUACGUGCCAGCAGCCGCGGUAAUACGUAGGUGGCAAGCGUUGUCCGGAAUUACUGGGUGUAAAGGGAGCGUAGGCGGGGAGACAAGUUGAAUGUUUAAACUAUCGGCUCAACUGAUAGUCGCGUUCAAAACUAUCACUCUUGAGUGCAGUAGAGGUAGGCGGAAUUCCUAGUGUAGCGGUGAAAUGCGUAGAUAUUAGGAGGAACACCAGUGGCGAAGGCGGCCUACUGGGCUGUAACUGACGCUGAGGCUCGAAAGCGUGGGUAGCAAACAGGAUUAGAUACCCUGGUAGUCCACGCCGUAAACGAUGAUUACUAGGUGUGGGGGGACUGACCCCUUCCGUGCCGGAGUUAACACAAUAAGUAAUCCACCUGGGGAGUACGACCGCAAGGUUGAAACUCAAAGGAAUUGACGGGGGCCCGCACAAGCAGUGGAGUAUGUGGUUUAAUUCGAAGCAACGCGAAGAACCUUACCAGGUCUUGACAUCGAGUGACGAACUUAGAGAUAAGUUUUUCCUUCGGGACACGAAGACAGGUGGUGCAUGGUUGUCGUCAGCUCGUGUCGUGAGAUGUUGGGUUAAGUCCCGCAACGAGCGCAACCCUUAUCAUUAGUUGCUACGCAAGAGCACUCUAAUGAGACUGCCGUUGAUAAAACGGAGGAAGGUGGGGAUGACGUCAAAUCAUCAUGCCCCUUAUGACCUGGGCUACACACGUACUACAAUGGUGAUCAAACAGAGGGAAGCAACACAGCGAUGUGAAGCAGAACCCGAAAAAUCAUCUCAGUUCAGAUUGCAGGCUGCAACUCGCCUGCAUGAAGUCGGAAUUGCUAGUAAUCGCGGAUCAGCAUGCCGCGGUGAAUACGUUCCCGGGCCUUGUACACACCGCCCGUCACACCAUGGGAGUCGGUAACACCCGAAGUCAGUAGCCUAACCGCAAGGAGGGCGCUGCCGAAGGUGGGAUUGAUGACUGGGGUG